CAGGAGAGAUGAGAGAGAGGGCCCGACCGACCCAGUCUCUCUGAGGCUGAGCAGGAUGGUGAGUGUCAACGGCCCAAAAGAAACACACCGAGCCAGGAGUUUUGUCGAAGCAGGAACUCGACUUUAUGGCAUCAGUCUCUUGAUUAUGAGAGGGAUUUUUGGUGAGGUUAACUAAAGGGCACUGAACAAGUAAAGCUGUGCUGAAAAGAACAGUGGCCAAGGCAGGGAUAUUCUUAUACCACAAACAGUCAUGCAGAUGGAAGUCUGGCCAACAAAACCAUAAAGCAUCAUGUCUCACUGUGACUCAAUCUGUCAGCUCAAGUACAAGCCUUGAGUACACAAGUUCUUCUGCAUUCCCAAAUGCUUCCUUCUUUUGUCUCCAGUUAAAGACAUUUACCACUUUCUGGGAAGGAUUUCAACUUCAACUUUUCAUGAAAUACGAUGAGAGAUCGACUCAUGAUGGACUCAUCAGAAAUAAUUGGAGGUGGGAGGGAACAAUGUCAUCACUGACAGACUGUGCAACAACAAUUACUUGGAGCAACAGAGAGCAACGGGACAGCAGAGACCAUAUCUCCAACCAUUGAUUGUCCUUCAGGAUGUGAACAGUAGAAUCUCCCAGCUAUACUUAGGAGUCAAAGAAUAUAUUGAAACAAAAAACCCAGGCAGAGGCAAAACAGAUGAGGACUAACUAGUUCCUGUGCUUUGGAAAAGAUGCAAUUGACAAGUAAACCAGGAAGUAAGAGUAACUGGACCACUGCCCCUACCUCAUAGUAGUUGGAAAGGGAAAAAUUGUACUUACCAUAUAGAGAAAAAUUUGAAAUCUUGGUAGCUUAAGUGAUCAUUUCACUCAGUAAUUCGAGUGCCUGUUGAGAUGUGUGUACAAGCUCAGACAGUCUUCCUGGGCUGCGCCAGACUACUAAAAAGCCGAUGAAGCACAUUCUUUAUUCUGCUACAAAACAAAUGUGAAAAUGUCUUGAUGAAAGCUCAGCUGCUUUGCAAAUGUACAAUGAAGGCAAAUUUAACUGUCUGGGAUUGAACGAAGCCACAGUGAAAUGAUGAGAGUGGUUGCAGGAUUUUAGGAAUUUUUGUAUUUGGAUAAAUGAGAAGAUCAACCUGUCCUGUGUUCCCCGCGUGGCUACUGUGGGCUUUGAAGAAGUUAAUGUAGAGAAAGCCUGCUCUUAUGGUGUCUCGUUUUAAACUGGGUGACCACGUUGCCUGGACUUACAAUUGUUACCAUGGAGAUGAGAAUGUGAAAACUUACAGCAUAGAGCUGACAGCAAAUAAUGUUAAUAUUGAAAUACGGAAGGCCUUGGGGUUGAUUGAAUCACUACAGAACUGGUGGGAUCAUCUUGAUAAUUGAGAGGAAGCCCAACCCAUGUGACCAGUUCUAUUUCUUAGCCAGGGAGUCCUAAGCAGUAUCCAGAAAAAAAUGGUUGGCUGAAAGCAAGCAGAGAAGGAUGUGUUGUCUUUCGUUGCUCUUGACUUCAGAUUGUGAUGGAUAUAAGAAGACGCCUUACCAAUGUGAUCUUUGGAAGGAAAUCGAUGCUGUAUUAGAUUUCAAUACACUGACAUUCCUUGACAGAUGCUGUUAAUAGAUUGAAAAGACAAGGUAAGAUUGAGAGAGAGGGAAAAAAGUCUUCUAAUAAAGAGUUUCACUG
rnacentral:lncRNA from 1 species